GUCUCUUACACCUCUCGAGCAACCUUAGAAAUUAGCGAACACUCAGCUAAUAAUACCAACUUUGACCAGAAAAAAACAAAUUCUCUACUGGUUAAGGACUCUGAUGAAGUUGAUUUACCCGUUGUUUUCUCCCUUAACAAGAAUUAUGGACUAGUCAAUGGAAGAGACAAGGCUCCAAUCCAGCUUCUCUCUGCAAGCAAUCCUUUAAAAUCUAUCGUUGCUAAUGACAAAGGCUCAACCAAAGAGUCUAAGUCUGCAAAGUCUAAUUCUGAGA
rnacentral:lncRNA from 1 species